CUACACUAAGUUCUGGAGAUUUAUAUUGAAAACUUACAAAUCACAUGAUGAGUUCCUAGCAUAACAAACUACCUACCACAGCCAUACUUGCUAUAAUAUCUUUUACUUAUAUUCACAUUGAGUUUGAUCGAGCUGUGUAGACCCUUAGGAGCUUUUCAUGUGGUUAAAUUAAGAUAUUCACUUGCACACAUCUACUACACCAUCCACCGCCAUAUAUUAAAAUUGCUAAAAAUAUUAUCACUCAAUGUCCCAAAUAUUGUUAUUCUCUCUCUCUAAAAAGAUUCAAUGCAGAAGAGGCAUGGGUUAUGCAAAAAUAUGCGAGGCAAUAAAAAAGGGCAAGUGCCCGGAACCUCGACAAAAGAAAAAGAGUGAGACGAUAGGUAAAAAUGGACAAGUGUCCAGAGUAGAAUUAGGGGUACAAAGAUGCCCACUUGAGUGGAAAAAAUGGACAAGUGUCCGACAGUAGAAUUAGGGGUGUCUACUACCCACCUGAAAAAAGAAAAGAAAAAGAUAGCCCAUGUUCUCCCAAAGCAAAAAUCAAAGAAGAGGAGAGAUAGCAAUAUGAGGAGCAAUGAGAAGACCAUUACUAUCAUUUACUCCAUC
rnacentral:lncRNA from 1 species